rnacentral:rRNA from 1 species
AUUGAACGCUGGCGGCAGGCCUAACACAUGCAAGUCGAACGAGUGGCGGACGGGUGAGUAAUGUCUGGGAAACUGCCUGAUGGAGGGGGAUAACUACUGGAAACGGUAGCUAAUACCGCAUACCAUCGGAUGUGCCCAGAUGGGCUUAGCUUUUAGGAGGGGUAAAGGCUCACCUAGGCGACGAUCCCUAGCUGGUCUGAGAGGAGGACCAGCCACACUGGACCUGAGACACGGUCCAGACUCCUACGGGAGGCAGCAUUGGGGAAUAUUGCACAAUGUGCGCAAGCCUGAUGCAGCCAUGCCGCGUGUAUGAAGAAGGCCUUCGGUUUGUAAAGUACUUUCAGCGGGGAGGCGUUACCCGCAGAAUAAGCACCGGCUAACUCCGUGCCAGCAGCCGCGGUAAUAC